GGAUUGACACAUCGGUCGUGCCCUAAGGGGUAUGAACUGGUGUAGUCAAUUUCUCACCUUCUGGAGAACCGCGAUGCCCUUAAUUGGGUGUCACGGGGAACCAGGACCUUUACUUUGAAAAAAUUAGAGUGUUCAAAGCAGGCUUACGUCUGAAUACAUUAGCAUGGAAUAAUAAAAUAG
rnacentral:rRNA from 1 species